rnacentral:tRNA from 1 species
CGUUCUAUUGCCGAAUUGGUAAAGGCAUCGCCGAUCACGGACGAGGUUGCGGGUUCGAGUCCCGCUAAAAUGG